rnacentral:rRNA from 1 species
ACAGCAGCAGCCGCGGUAAUACGAAGGGGGCUAGCGUUGCUCGGAAUGACUGGGCGUAAAGGGCGCGUAGGCGGCUUUGUAAGUUAGAGGUGAAAGCCUGGUGCUCAACACCAGAACUGCCUUUAAGACUGCAUCGCUUGAACGUCGGAGAGGUGAGUGGAAUUCCGAGUGUAGAGGUGAAAUUCGUAGAUAUUCGGAAGAACACCAGUGGCGAAGGCGGCUCACUGGACGACUGUUGACGCUGAGGUACGAAAGCGUGGGGAGCAAACAGGAUUAGAGACCCCCGUAGUCCCUGUCUCUUAUAC